UCCUUGUUUGAGUUUCAAGUUUUUCAUAAAACAGCAUUCAGUACAGCCAAUAUGAGCCGAGCUGAGUACCGCUACACAUCAGUCACUAAUGUCUGAAAAACUUGAAACUCAAACAAGGAGCUUUACAGCAAUGGAUUAAUGUGUAACGUUUACAGGUGUAAGGCAACGAAGUUGACAGAUGUGCAGCAAGUGGGCUCAGGCAGACCCAGACCAUAGA